rnacentral:rRNA from 1 species
AAUUGCCUUGAUGUGGGGGAUAACCAUUGGAAACGAUGGCUAAUACCGCAUAACGCCUACGGGCCAAAGAGGGGGACCUUCGGGCCUCUCGCGUCAAGAUAUGCCUAGGUGGGAUUAGCUAGUUGGUGAGGUAAUGGCUCACCAAGGCGACGAUCCCUAGCUGGUCUGAGAGGAUGAUCAGCCACACUGGAACUGAGACACGGUCCAGACUCCUACGGGAGGCAGCAGUGGGGAAUAUUGCACAAUGGGCGCAAGCCUGAUGCAGCCAUGCCGCGUGUAUGAAGAAGGCCUUCGGGUUGUAAAGUACUUUCAGCAGUGAGGAAGGGGGUGUCGUUAAUAGCGGCAUUUCUUGACGUUAGCUGCAGAAGAAGCACCGGCUAACUCCGUGCCAGCAGCCGCGGUAAUACGGAGGGUGCGAGCGUUAAUCGGAAUUACUGGGCGUAAAGCGCAUGCAG